CAGUCGCCACGGGAAUUCGUAGGUGGCAAGCGUUGUCCGGAAUUAUUGGGCGUAAAGGGCUCGCAGGCGGUUUCUUAAGUCUGAUGUGAAAGCCCCCGGCUCAACCGGGGAGGGUCAUUGGAAACUGGGAAACUUGAGUGCAGAAGAGGAGAGUGGAAUUCCACGUGUAGCGGUGAAAUGCGUAGAGAUGUGGAGGAACACCAGUGGCGAAGGCGACUCUCUGGUCUGUAACUGACGCUGAGGAGCGAAAGCGUGGGGAGCGAACAGGAUUAGAUACCCCGGUAGUCCCUGUCUCUUAUAC
rnacentral:rRNA from 1 species